CCUGUAAUCCCAGCUCCCUGGGAGGCUGAGGCAGGAGAAUCGCUUGAACCUGGGAGGUGGAGGUUGCAGUGAGCUGAGAUCGUGCCACUGCACUCCAGCCAGGGCAACAAAGCGAGACGCCAUCUCAGAAAAAAAGAAAAUCAAAUGUCUAGAGAGUGUACAACAAACAACAUUACCCUUUGCUCUGCCCGCCUCUGCCCAAUACUCCUGUCUGUCUCCCCAGGGGCAAUCCUUUCCAGCUCUUUUCAGUGCUUUCUUCUGGUAUUUUGUUCUGCAGUUAUCACAUGAUUACAGUGGCUUUUUCUUAAUGCAGCCAUUGAUCUGUUUUGGAGGAGAUAGAAUUUACCUCUCAUGCCACACCCUCACUACCAGUGACUCCUUCUCCCAACCGGUAGUUAAUAUUUACAAUAUUAUUAUAAUUGUGAUAAACUGCAGAACUGAAUAGUGCACCAACAUUUGCUUUCUUUGUUUUCAUCAGUGCCGUCACCUACCUAUAAAUAAUCUUUCCCAAUUGCUUCCAAUCAUCUGAUAACCUUUUGGUUCUUCCCUCCCCUCUCUCUUCCCCUUCCCUCAUCUCCUCUCCCCUUCCCGCCCCCCUCUCUCUCUUUCUUUCCCUCACCUUCUGCACUUUCUCCCUCCCUCUCUCACUCCCUUUCUCUUUCUCUCUCUUUCUUUCGUACCCAAGAAAGGAUACAGAGAAAAUAAAAUUUUUGAGUCUAUGCAUUGAGUCCAUGUGUGUGUGAAAAUGUAUUUUAACCUCAAGAUUGAUCAAUAGUUUGAAAACCACUGCCUUGGCAUAAGGAAGGUAUUGCUCCAUUGUCUUCUAGAAUCUUGUGGAUAAGAGACCUGGAGCAGAAACAGGCCCAGCAUCCAGCCAGCACUGUCACCAGACUUGCAAAUGAAGCCACCAUAAAGGAUACAGCCAGCAUCCUGCCUGACUGGUGGGGCCAGCAGAACAACCCCUGCCAAAAACGCCCAGCCCUGAUUGCUGACCAUGGAGUAAACAAAUAAAAUGGUGAUU
rnacentral:lncRNA from 10 species